AGAAAACAAAGAUGAGUGCCGGAAUGAGCGAGGAAAUUGUGGAUAAAGUCAGUAAGGGAGACAUCAACUACCCCUCUGAACUUGAAGACGACGAAGCUCGAGACCCCGAGACAGACCCUAGUGAGGGUGGACUAUUGUUCCCUGAAUUUCCAUUCCUGGAUUGGUCCAUGUCUUUUCUCACGUAAUCAACAAUAAAACUCUAAAAAAC